rnacentral:rRNA from 1 species
GUGUGCAAUAAUUAUUUAAACAAAAUUAGGCAGGUGCAUGUGGUUAAGCACUCAGAUGGGAGACCACCUGGGAAUACACAGCACUAGACA